GAUGAACGCUGGCGGUGUGCUUAACACAUGCAAGUCGAACGAGGUCCAUGGAGCUUGCUCCGGAAGACCUAGUGGCGAACGGGUGCGUAACACGUGAGAAACCUGCCCCGAUCUCUGGGAUAACAGUUGGAAACGACUGCUAAUACCGGAUGCCGUCACACCGCUUCAUGGCGGAGUGCCGAAAGAUUCAUCGGAUCGGGAGGGUCUCGCGGCCUAUCAGCUAGUUGGAGAGGUAACGGCUCACCAAGGCAUCGACGGGUAGCUGGUCUGAGAGGAUGAUCAGCCACACUGGGACUGAGACACGGCCCAGACUCCUACGGGAGGCAGCAGUGGGGAAUCUUGCACAAUGGGCGAAAGCCUGAUGCAGCAACGCCGCGUGCGGGAAGAAGGCCCUAGGGUUGUAAACCGCUUUCAGUAGGGAAGAAAAUGACGGUACCUACAGAAGAAGGUGCGGCCAACUACGUGCCAGCAGCCGCCGUAAGAC
rnacentral:rRNA from 1 species